UAGCUGUGGAGGGCGCCAUCUUCUAUUGAAGCAAAAAGGAUCGAGUAUCUUCUAAAUUGGAAAGCCCUUAAAGCCUAGCAUGUAAUACAAUUACGGUUUGCCGGUUAACUUGUAGCAAGAUAAGGUAGUAUUUUCACACACCAGAUCAUAAAAUAGGGAAUUUUGGUAUACUGGACGAGCCCUUCGCAAGGAGCGCAACAAAGGUGUCAAUCAGAAUACUACACUGCACAUUCUUAGAAAUGGACCAACCCCUUUGUGAAAAUUUGUGGAAGCUUCCUCAAAAGAAUCCUCAUACUUCUUUGUUGAAGGGAGUUUUGGAAAUGAUUCCUGUACUCCUCUCACCUAUUGCAGGUGCUAAGAUUAGAAGAAGCAUGUGCUAUCAUCUGUGACUUUGCUGAAUAUUUUGAAGAGAAUUUUAUUGAAUAUUUUAUCUAUUAUUAUUAAUCUAUUUGUUUAUUUAUUUAUGAAUGAGAUGGGGUCUCUUUAUG